UCCCUACGGGAGGCAGCAGUGAGGAAUAUUGGUCAAUGGGCGCAGGCCUGAACCAGCCAAGUCGCGUGAGGGAAGACUGCCCUAUGGGUUGUAAACCUCUUUUAUAAGGGAAGAAUAAUGACUACGUGUAGUCAGAUGCCUGUACCGAAUGAAUAAGCAUCGGCUAACUCCGUGCCAGCAGCCGCGGUAAUACGGAGGAUGCGAGCGUUAUCCGGAUUUAUUGGGUUUAAAGGGUGCGUAGGCGGCCUGUUAAGUUAGUGGUUAAAUGUCGGGGCUAAACCCCGGAUUGCCAUUAAAACUGGCGG
rnacentral:rRNA from 1 species